AAGAGAUUCGCUGGUCAAGGUCCUCCGGUUCCGCACCUUCGUCUUCGGCGGCAGAAAUUUUAAGAGGUGGCAAAAUUGCAGAGAUGAGAUCCGUGAAAAACUCCGGCUCCGCGGCUUCUGGUUCAAGAUUGCUGGAAAGUUACUCCAGACUAAACAGUGAUCCAAUUCGACCGUACGGAGCGUAUAAAUGAGCCGUAGGCAGCUGCAGUGAACGAAGGAGUGCCUCCCAUACCUAUCGUGGGAUUCGGGGAAGGAACCGGUAAAAAACGUUCAAUCAGAAACACAUUAACAAAAUUACAACGUCGGAAAAAAGUUCGUCGCCAGUUCGGUACCUCGAUUAAAAUAACGUAACGAUUCACGCGCAACUGCCGUUUCAUAUUAGGUACUGUGAACGAAGAACACGCUUUCAAUUUUAUCUUAUAAACUCUCAAUCUAUAACUGUAUGCUGUAUCAAUAUAAAUAAACAGUAUUUCGUCUU